GCAUAUCAAUAAGCGGAGGAAAAGAAACCAACAGGGAUUACCUUAGUAACGGCGAGUGAAGCGGUAAAAGCUCAAAUUUGAAAUCUUCGGAAUUGUAAUUUGAUGGAUAAAAUUGCUACUGACAAAAGUCCAUUGGAAGAUGGCGCCAUAGAGGGUGAUAGCCCCGUUAUUGUCAACUUGCACUAUAAUUUUAUUCCAAAGAGUCGGGUUGUUUGGGAAUGCAGCUCAAAGUGGGUGGUAAAUUCCAUCUAAAGCUAAAUAUUGACGAGAGACCGAUAGCGAACAAGUACAGUGAUGGAAAGAUGAAAAGAACUUUGAAAAGAGAGUGAAACAGUACGUGAAAUUGUUGAAAGGGAAGGGGAGGGAAGAUGUUAAAGGGACUCCUUACUUCGUAGGGAUCCCCCCAAGAGUCUUUCCUCUCGCCCGUCUUGAAACACGGACCAAGGAGUCUAACGAUUAUGCAAGUAUUUGAGUCAACCCCCAAAUGCGCAAUGAAAGUAAUUGGUCAACCCUACCCUCCUGUCCUAAUGGGCGGGAGAGGAAGCAUAAUUAUUAGGACCCGAAAGAUGGUGAACUAUACCUGGAUAGGGUGAAGCCAGAGGAAACUCUGGUGGAAGCUCGUAGCGGUUCUGACGUGCAAAUCGAUCGUCAAAUCUGGGUAUAGGGGCGAAAGACUAAUCGAACCAUCUAGUAGCUGGUUCCUGCCGAA
rnacentral:rRNA from 1 species